rnacentral:rRNA from 1 species
GACGAACGCUGGCGGCGUGCUUAACACAUGCAAGUCGAACGAAGAGCGAUGGAAGCUUGCUUCUAUCAAUCUUAGUGGCGAACGGGUGAGUAACGCGUAAUCGACCUGCCCUUCAGAGGGGGACAACAGUUGGAAACGACUGCUAAUACCGCAUACGAUCUAAUCUCGGCAUCGAGGAUAGAUGAAAGGUGGCCUCUACAUGUAAGCUAUCACUGAAGGAGGGGAUUGCGUCUGAUUAGCUAGUUGGAGGGGUAACGGCCCACCAAGGCGAUGAUCAGUAGCCGGUCUGAGAGGAUGAACGGCCACAUUGGGACUGAGACACGGCCCAGACUCCUACGGGAGGCAGCAGUGGGGAAUCUUCCGCAAUGGACGAAAGUCUGACGGAGCAACGCCGCGUGAGUGAUGACGGCCUUCGGGUUGUAAAGCUCUGUUAAUCGGGACGAAAGGCCUUCUUGCGAAUAGUGAGAAGGAUUGACGGUACCGGAAGAGAAAGCCACGGCUAACUACGUG